rnacentral:rRNA from 1 species
AUUGAACGCUGGCGGCAUGCCUUACACAUGCAAGUCGAACGGUAACGGGCCUUCGGGUGCCGACGAGUGGCGAACGGGUGAGUAAUACAUCGGAACGUGCCCGAUCGUGGGGGAUAACGAGGCGAAAGCUUUGCUAAUACCGCAUACGAUCUACGGAUGAAAGCAGGGGACCGCAAGGCCUUGCGCGGACGGAGCGGCCGAUGGCAGAUUAGGUAGUUGGUGGGAUAAAAGCUUACCAAGCCGACGAUCUGUAGCUGGUCUGAGAGGAUGAUCAGCCACACUGGGACUGAGACACGGCCCAGACUCCUACGGGAGGCAGCAGCGGGGAAUUUUGGACAAUGGGCGCAAGCCUGAUCCAGCCAUGCCGCGUGCAGGAUGAAGGCCUUCGGGUUGUAAACUGCUUUUGUACGGAACGAAAAGCCUUCUUUUAAUACAGGAGGGUCAUGACGGUACCGUAAGAAUAAGCACCGGCUAACUACGUG